GGGGAUGAUCGGUUUCGACAUCGCCUGCGAAUCUGCGAGAAGCGGGCCGAGGAUGCAGGGUUAUCUCGUGAACGCCCCCUGCGAACCAAUAACUGCCGAACACAAGCAGUCCGAGUUCGCCCUCGCUGCGUAAGCAGCGAGCCCGACUCCGUCAAUCCGUGACUGAUCCCGUCACGGUCCUUGGCGUCAUUUAGGGAUCUUGCUGCGCGAUGACGCCUGAGCGUCACGCGGGACUUUUUCAGGCUGGGCUCGUCGACUUAGGUGUCUGUGACAA
rnacentral:tmRNA from 1 species